UGACAUGUCUACUUUGCGUCUGGGUCAGG
rnacentral:piRNA from 1 species